rnacentral:rRNA from 1 species
GACGAACGCUGGCGGCGUGCUUAACACAUGCAAGUCGAACGGAAAGGCCCUGCUCUUGUGGCUUGCUCGAGUGGCGAACGGGUGAGUAACACGUGAGUAACCUGCCCUUGACUUAGGGAUAACAUCAGGAAACUGGGGCUAAUACCGGGUAGAAGCUCCUGCUGCAUGGGGGGGGUUGGAAAGAUUCGGCGGUUGUGGCUGGACUCGCGGCUUAUCAGCUUGUUUGUGGGGUAGUGGCUUACCAGGGCUUUGACGGGUAGCCGGCCUGGGAGGGUGACCGGCCACAUUGGGCCUGAGAUACGGCCCAGACUCCUACGGGAGGCAGCAGUGGGGAAUAUUGCACAAUGGGCGGAAGCCUGAUGCAGCAACGCCGCGUGCGGGAUGACGGCCUUCGGGUUAUAAACCGCUUUCGCCGGUGACGAAGCGUGAGUGACGGUAAUGGGUAAAGAAGCACCGGCUAACUACGUG